rnacentral:misc_RNA from 1 species
AUUCUGUCAGGUAUUAUAGAGGUUUGGUAUCAUGGGCUUUAGCACAAGUGACACUUUUAGGGCCUGUGGUUUUUCUCUUUAGCACCAGCACAUCUGGAUUAUAUUUCUGGAUGUGUGCAGUAAGCCUCCUUCCAGAGGGCUCCGUACUUCUUCAGGGCCCUGAGAAUAUCUCCAAAUGCCUUCAACAUGGGCUUUUUCACAUAUGGUAGUCCAUGCUUG